rnacentral:rRNA from 1 species
UUAGAGUUUGAUCCUGGCUCAGGAUGAACGCUAGCGAUAGGCUUAACACAUGCAAGUCGAGGGGCAGCAUAUUCAAAGCUUGCUUUGAAUGAUGGCGACCGGCGCACGGGUGCGUAACGCGUAUGCAACUUACCUGUCAGAGGGGAAUAACCCGGUGAAAGCCGGACUAAUACCGCAUACACUAAUUUUUUCGCCUGGAUUAAUUAAGAAAGAUUUAUCGCUGACAGAUAGGCAUGCGUCCCAUUAGCUUGUUGGUGAGGUAACGGCUCACCAAGGCAACGAUGGGUAGGGGAACUGAGAGGGUGAUCGGCCACACUGGGACUGAGACACGGCCCAGACUCCUACGGGAGGCAGCAGUAGGGAAUCUUCGGCAAUGGGGGCAACCCUGACCGAGCAACGCCGCGUGAGUGAAGAAUGUUUUCGGAUCGUAAAGCUCUGCUGUAAGAGAAGAACGUGUGUGAGAGUGAAAAGUUCACACAGUGACGGUAACUUACCAGAAAGGGACGGCUAACUACGUGCCACCAGCCGCGGUAAUACGUAGGUCCCGAGCGUUGUCCGGAUUUAUUGGGGCGAAAACCAAGCGCAGGCGGUUUAAUAAGUCUGAAAUUAAAGGCAGUGGCUUAACCUUUUGUUCGCUUUGAAAGCUGUAAACUUGAGGGCAAAAAGGGGGAAAGGGAAAUUCCUGGGGUAGCGGAGAAAUGCAAAAAAUAUAAGAAAAAAACCACCCGGGGGGAAGGCGGCUUCUCGGGUCUGCAAC